GUGAAUGCGUCAGUGAUUGUGUCAGGGACACUAAGGGAGACAGAUGGUUUAUUUUUAUUAUUUUUUAUUUUCUGUCCAUCGUCAUAUUGUGCAUCUUGAAAAAAGAUUUCUUACAGUGACGCGGAUGUUCGCCACACUCGAACAGGCUUAUUUGCGGGUUUAGCCUACAGAUGGUACCAAUAUAUUGGAACAAUUUAAGUCCCAACGGAAUUGUAGAAUUGUUCAAUAGGGUUAGUACAUGUACACGUUAAAAUUAGGCAAAUGUCUACAUACAAGGAAUGUUUGUCUUUUCUGGGUAACUAACUGAAUACAAUAAAUGAAUGCAACCAAUGAAAAUAAAAGGACUUACUUGAACCAGUAAAAAAGUAAAAUAAAUAAAAUAAAUAAAUAAAUAAAAAAAAGGGUCGAAAGAGAAAGUGAAACUCAAACGUCAUUUUGAAGACGGAGGACAAGGAGGAUGUAGUAAAAAAAGGAAUAAAACUGGAUAAAAGAACGGAAGACUGUACUGCAUGAAAAUCCCAGGAGGGCAGCUGUUUCUGUGAUGCUGGAACCACCACAUCUGGCACCAUCCAUCUGGCACAGUCAAAGUCACUUAGAUCACACAUCUUGCCCAUUCUAAUAGGGUCCAGGUAGAAAGAGCUGGGUCACCUGUACCCAGCUGUGUGUCUCUGAAGAGUGAUCAUUCAAUGAAUCCUCCA